AGGGUGUAAACGCUGCAGACUUGGUGUUGGAAGUCCUUUGGGGGCAUUCAGUGCCGGAGAGAAGUUGUUAAGUCUGCUACUUGGGGAGUACGUCCGCAAGGAUGAAACUUAAAGGAAUUGGCGGGGGAGCACCGCAACGGGAGGAGCGUGCGGUUUAAUUGGAUCCAACACCGUAAAACUCACCAGGGAAGACUGUUACAUGAAAGCCGAGAUGAAGACUCUGCUAGAUUUUUCAGAGAGGAGGUGCAUGGCGUCAGUGACU
rnacentral:rRNA from 1 species